AUUGAACGCUGGCGGCAUGCUUUACACAUGCAAGUCGAACGGUAACAGGUUAAGCUGACGGGUGGUGAACGGGUGAGUAAUGCAUCGGAACGUGCCCGGUCGUGGGGGAUAACGCAGCGAAAGCUGCGCUAAUACCGCAUACGAUCUGAGGAUGAAAGCGGGGGACCGUAAGGCCUCGCGCGAUCGGAGCGGCCGAUGUCAGAUUAGGUAGUUGGUGGGGUAAAGGCUCACCAAGCCAACGAUCUGUAGCUGGUCUGAGAGGACGACCAGCCACACUGGGACUGAGACACGGCCCAGACUCCUACGGGAGGCAGCAGUGGGGAAUUUUGGACAAUGGGCGAAAGCCUGAUCCAGCAAUGCCGCGUGCAGGAAGAAGGCCUUCGGGUUGUAAACUGCUUUUGUACGGAGCGAAAAGGUCUCCUCUAAUACAGGGGGCUCAUGACGGUACCGUAAGAAUAAGCACCGGCUAACUACGUGCCAGCAGCCGCAGUAA
rnacentral:rRNA from 1 species